ensembl:lncRNA
ACAGAAUCCAAAGCAGGCUCCAGGCUCUGAGCUGUCAGCACAGAGCCCGACGCGGGGCUAGAACCCAUGAACCGUGAGAUCAUGACCUGAGCUGAAGUCCGAUGCUUAAACCGGCUGAGCCACCCAGGUGGCCCUAGUAAAUUAACAUAAUUAAAUUAAUGUUAAUUAAAUUAAAACAAGUUAAUUUUUAGUGAUGACUGUUUAUCAACGUGCUUGCAAAAUUCCUGCACGCUCCUGGGAGCACCACCUUUUUAGAGAUGGGCUGAAAACGCAGAGACAGAAUUGAGAACCGAAGAAGACCAAAGAAGAGGGAGGAAGCUGUGAAGAGCUGACUGCCUACUCCGUGUUGGUGUGGGUGGCGCAGAGUUCUUCCAGCACAGGGCACAGGGAGCCAUCGCUGGAGGCUGAGAGCUCCGACCCGGGCUUCUGUGUCUCCUCCCAUCGCCCCUCCUUGCCCUUCUGCCCCAGGUAGAGGGCAAGAGUGGGCCCGAGGGAAGCCCGCGACCUCUGCGUCUGUAAAAUGGAGCAGUGAACGACGUGAAGUCAGGCAGGAGCCCGGGGCGCCGGGCAGGCCUGGCACGUGCUGGGGAGGGGUGAGGAGGGAUCAUGGCAGCGCUCAGACCCGUCCUCCCCUUUCCAGGCUUUUUGGCCCAGCCCACUGAGGUGAAGAUUACGGGGGUCACCUGGCGCAGUGUGAGAGCUGGCAGAGGCAAAGCCGGCCACCUGCUCCCCAAAUCCUCUCCUCCAAGAGACCCCCAAUAAAGAGCCGGGAGGAAACCCCAGGGCCCCUCGGCGCUCCCCGCGGGAGAGCAAUGGUUCUGGAAGCCGCACCCUCCCCGGAUCCCUGGGGCGGCUGCUCGGCGCCCGCCGGGAGCCUCCGCCCCCUCCACCUCCUCCCGCGGCGAGGCGGCGCGCGAGCUGGAGCCGGUGCGCGGGGCCGCCCGCACCUCGUCCCCGGCCCGUCCCCGGCCCGUCCCCGCUCGUCCCUCCGCUCCCGCCCGCCGCGAUCCGGCCUCCUGCGCCCGGGACCCGAGAGAGCCUCAGAGUUUCCUGCUUUGGGUGGCUCCAUUAGUCACACUCCGUCUGAGAGCCUGGGGAUUGUCUGAGUGGGAGCGGAAACAACGUCGUAUUAAUCAGGAAACAAUCCCUUUCAACCAUCCCAUCGGCUGCCAUUUCCGGGCCCUGCAGCGGCCUCCCUAACCCAGACACUGGGAAAAUGCAAAUGCCGAGACCGAAAUCCCAUGAGAGUCUGGAAAAGAAAUGGACGUGAACGUCACUUAUGCCAGGUAUGGAGAAAUUCUGACCACGUCUCCAGAGUCCAGCCCAUUGCGGGAGAUGAUUGCUGUGGGCAAGGAAGAUGGUUAUUAGCGCAGUGUCUCAGAUCAGCAUUCCAUGGGCCGUAAUUUGCCAUUCCCUGGGACCAGGAAGGUUCUGGAAAACAAUGCAUGCUUCAUUUUAACAUGGUGAGCUGUUGGUUGUUUGCAAGGCCAGUGCCAGGUUUUGUUUACAAAACAACAAAUUCUACUGCUCCUGCCAAUGACUGGGCAGCUUGACAUCAAGAAACGGCAGAAGUCGAGCCAGAAGGUGACGUUGCAGACAGGGUGACGAAUCUCUUUGCUUCCCCAAAUCUAGCAUCUUCUUAGGGAGAGCACAGCCAGAGAUGCCAACCCCAUCUUCCACAGGCCAGCUCUGGAUCUUUCAGUGAGUAGUAUAGGUGCCAUGCUGUUCGGUCUCUAAAGAGUAAAGCAUGAAUCCAAACAGAGCUUUGCUUUAAUCGAAGAGUAUUUAUCCUCGUGAGAGGUUCUGUGUUUGGAGAUCUGUAAGCAGAGACUGUGUGCUAGAAAAAGGCAGGGAGAGAGGGCCACCAGACACUGCCACACCGUUCCAACUCCAGGGGGCACCAUCCGGUCGGUUCCAGUGUGUACGGGCCCCCCGGAACCGUGCGUCGUGGCAGCCCGGACAGGAUUCCCUUGGUAAUAACCUUUCCACAUGGCAUGCACGGUUUGUACCCCUGGAAGCCAGAAUCCUGCAUCUGGCAACUGACGAUGGGCUUUAGAACACCCCACUCCUUUCCUGGGGGACGGGACCCGAUUGCUGCAAGAACAGCUUCCCUUAAGACUCUCUCAAGUCCUGCUUCAGACACUCAGAACCGAGUGGCCUCAGGUAAUUCACUGAAUCUCAGCUUCCUAAUCUGUAGAUUGGAGAGAAUAAAACUACUUGGAAUUCAAAGAGAGCA